GACGAACGCUGGCGGCAUGCCUAAUACAUGCAAGUUGAACGAUGAUACUCUCUGCUUGCCGAGAAUUGAAGAGUAGCGAACGGGUGAGUAACACGUGGGGAACCUGCCCAUGAGAGGGGGAUAACAUUCGGAAACGGAUGCUAAUACCGCAUAAUGCUUUGGACCGCCUGGUCCAGAGACGAAAGACGGCUUUUGCUGUCACUCAUGGAUGGCCCCGCGCCGUAUUAGCUAGUUGGUGAGGUAAUGGCUCACCAAAGCUGUGAUACGUAGCCGACCUGAGAGGGUGAUCGGCCACACUGGGACUGAGACACGGCCCAGACUCCUACGGGAGGCAGCAGUAGGGAAUCUUCCACAAUGGGCGAAAGCCUGAUGGAGCAAUGCCGCGUGAAUGAAGAAGGUCUUCGGAUCGUAAAGUUCUGUUAUUAGAGAAGAACAAGUCAAGGAGUAACUGUCUUGACUUUGACGGUACCUAACCAGAAAGUCACGGCUAACUACGUG
rnacentral:rRNA from 1 species